GUGAGUCUUCGUCUUCCUGGUGCUUUUGAAUAUUCGGGAAUCUCAUCCGAAUAUAUACACCAGGAAGCACUUCCCUCGUUGUCUUCAAUCAUUUUCCUCAUGUAUGAAAACGUCGGUUCAAUUUUUGUGCCAAAUUUGAGGAUUAAUUCCGACCAGAUGAUUGUUUUAAAAAGAGAAGUUUUGGAACAAUCAAUAUAAGAAAUUUAUAUUUUAUUUUGAUUCAGUGUACGAUCUGACGAGUUAGCAGGGUUUAAAUGAUUCCUAUUCUGGAAAUCAUCAUACAAAACAUACAAAAUUAAACAAAUAUUGUGUCGAGUAUAAAAUGCCUCGUCACAAUAUAUAUUACAUGGAGAAAAAUUUUUUAUUCAAAUUAAAAUUUAAUGCUAAAAAUAUACAUAUAUUUAUCUCAGAAGCCUUGGUGAGAUGAUAUUUUAUAUUCCAUAAAGUUCUUCGUUAACUAAGCCGUAUUCAAAGCAGAAAAUAUGAAAGCCGUUGGAUUUUCCAAACUAAAUUUCUUUCUGACCGGAAAAUUUUAUAUAAGUCAAGAGACAUAUUCUAUAGCAGAAAAUUGCCUCUCGCAAGGAAAAAAAAUAUAUUGUGUAUUGGAAAAAUCAACUAAAUUCUCUGUCUAUUCUUUGAAAAUCAACAAUUUAGACAUAUGAGUUGGAAAAAUAA